GCUGGGUUCAGAACGUCGUGAGACAGUUCGGUCCCUAUCUGCCAUGGGUGUAGAAGAAUUGAGAGGAGUUGCCCCUAGUACGAGAGGACCGGGGUGAACAUACCUCUGGUGGACCGAUUGUAGCGCCAGCUGCAGUGUCGGGUAGCUAAGUAUGGAAGAGAUAACCGCUGAAAGCAUCUAAGCGGGAAACUCACCUCAAAACUAGUUCUUCCUUUAGGGUCGUUGUAGACUACAACGUUGAUAGGCUGGGUGUGGAAGCGCGGUAACGUGUGCAGCUAACCAGUACUAAUAACCCAAUUGGCUUGAUUUAUG
rnacentral:rRNA from 1 species